rfam:Gossypium raimondii chromosome 8, whole genome shotgun sequence.
UUAAUGGAGUUUUUAAACUCCACAGUUGAUAAGUAUUAAAAAUAAAU